AUAGAUGAGCCUUGUGAACCAGAGACAAGCAUAGAACCCUAUUGUUCCUGUGAGCACAAAAAAUGCGUAGGAGGCGAUGAGCAUGUACCCAAAGUAAAGCAUCGCAGAGACCAGUUUGGUGAUCUGAAGCUUUGUGAAGAAGUAGAACGUGGCAUAGAGGAAGAGGUAGAGAGCUGAUGAGCCUGAUGUGAGGUAUGAUCUCCACCACCAAAGGUAGUCCUCACUGCAAAGCUGGAAGUAGCAGAGUACUACGGUUAUCUCGGCGCAAGUCACAAUGAGGAUUACAAAGACGAGGAAGAGGAACCCAAAGAUGUAGUAGAACUGGUUGAGCCAGAUGGAUGUGAGGAUGAAGAAGAGCUCGAUGAAGACUGCACCAAACGGUAAGAUUCCUCCAAUGAGGAUUGAGAAAACCGGGUUCAUGUACCAAGCUUGCUCUGGGAUUUGCCUCGGGAUUUUGUUGGUUUUCACUGGGUCAUCAGCCGCUGGCUUCUUGAACCCAAUGUAACCCCCAACAAAGACGAGAGGAACUGAGAUGCCAAACCAGAGGAAGAUCAAGGCGAACAUUGUUCCAAAGGGGACAGCCCCAGAUGACUUCUGUC